rnacentral:lncRNA from 1 species
UACGAGUACGCUCGCAAUUUUUUCGCCGCGAUAUACGAAUCCGCAUUAUAUGAACCCGUUUUAUAGAGGAGUCUACUGUAUUGAAAUCGUGUCAAACACGACCCUUCCGAGGUUUUUUGCAAAUCUCCACGUUUUCAGAUCCCCGAACCCAAAAAAGGCGAAGAAAUUCCGCGUGUGUGCCUUGCAUACGUGAGGGUUAUAGAUGCUAUUAAAUCUUGAUGAUAAAAGGUCGAGAGGGGUAGGAUUUGAUUCGUUAUUAACAUUUACACUUUCAUAAAACUCGUCCCUACUCUCAAAAUUAAGCGUUUUGCCAUUCUAUAAAACGUACAAAAAGUUUUUAUAGCAAAAUGUGAUAACAGAUGGGGUAACAAUUUUAUUUUUGCUUAAUAAUUGACUUAUUUAAAAAACAUAUGACAGCCGGGAAAGUUACGCAACUCGUCGCUAGAUUUUUGAAUUAAUGACUUGUUUUCUAUUUCAGAGGUUCGUGGGCGAACUUCUUCAGCGUGCAAAGACACUGUAAGGAGAAGAAUCACGGAUCGUUCCGACUGUCGCCAGUCGUUCGUUACUCUCUCAAUGUUAAAAUCUUCGUUAGGUGUGACAGUAUACAUUAACGACCGUCGGCAUCGUAAACCCCUUUCGUUUUACCCACGUUACGUAUACGCCGUUCGAACUCGUUUCGUCUACGACGCGCGUUCGGAGACUCGACUUUUAUCGUUUUUUUCCGACCUCUUAAUCCUAGUCAUCGUCUCUUUCGAGAGGUGGUUUUAAUCCACUCCCCGUUGCACCCACCGUCCGUCUAGUUUUACAUCUUCCACUGCCGGUCCAUUGUAACUUCUCGGAUAAAAAUAUAGAAUCGCUCCGUCACAAAAUUUUACAUAUGUUCGUAGGUUCGAUUCUGCGUUUUUCCGCCCAUUUCCGGUGCCUGCACCGUAGUUUUCGAUCGGUCAACAAUACUUUCCAACCGUUUUGAUUUAUUUAGCCUGGUAGUCUUUCGUCCGCAGUAUUUAUUUAUUUCUCAAAUUACAAGUUUAUUAUAUUUUAACACGUCCGUUGAAUAAAUACUUAGAAUUUUCGCCGGUCGGAGUGCUCCGGUUUUGUCUUCUGGCGGGAGACUCGACGGGAAAUUCCUCCGUUUAAAUUUUGCACGGCUCCACAAUUAAGUUGGAAGAAAAACGCACAGAUCGUCGACAAAACGUUUUCCCAUUUCGUGAAAUUCCUUAAUUCUCUCGCCAACGCCAAGAAAUAACUCCUCUCACUUCGUUUAAUGGAAACCGGUGAUCGCGUGUGAUUUUUAAUCUCGUUAUUUUUGUCUUCGUCUCCAUUUUUACAGUUUUAAGUACCCGGUGGUUUUAUAUUUUGCCACGUGUUUUGCAUUAUAUUACGCCGUUCGUUAAAGUUAAUCGUCGACGAACUCCGUGCUGAAAAAACCGCGAAAUUAGAUUUUUCGACGUUGGAAAGUGUACUUAAUCGGUGUCGGUCGUUGUAGAAGAGUUAGGAUCCGAGAAAGGAAUAAAACUUUUUGUAGGGACGAAUAUAUUUUUGUCAGUUUUCGAAUAAGGCAGGUAUAAUUAUAGAAAUUUUAAUAUAAUAGUAAUAAUAAUAAUUAACAAAUCGUCUUUCAGCGGAGCUGCGGGGCAGCUUCUCUUCGUCGGUGGUACGAGGAAUUUUUAUAAACGCGAACGUAUUAAUAGAAUCGUGCAGCGCACCUAAUAUAUUUCGGCACGGAACGAGCUUAGAAAAUAGUCCACUUGUCGGGAUUUUCGAAACGUUCUACACUUUUUUUACGAUUAUCGGGAAAGGUAAUUGGUUAAAGGAAUCGUUGGCCGUCUGUGGAUGGAGGUGGUUAUUUGAAAUAGCGCGUGAAAUUUGCGAACGGAAAAUUUUCCAUUUGUAAUGCCCCGUUUUGGAUCUUUCGAAACGGCAACACACAAUAAAGUUUUGUAACAAAUCCGACCUCGUUUCCUUUUAAUCUUCCUCCUAACCGGGGCUGUCGAAACGGACGGUGGUUUUCCGCCCGGCAGUUGGCAAACGGAAUGUAAUUUUCGGGAAACCCUUCGACCCCUCAGACGGACGAUCGUACGAUGAUAUAACGUCCGCAAAAUUUUUUUCGGGCGAUCGAUUUGCCGAAACGACAAUCCUCGGGGCAAAAUGGUAAAUCUGUUGGAAAAGACGCUUAAACAAAUACGUAGAUCCGAGAAGCGCAUUUUCAAAAUCAUAAUUCCUAUAAUGAUACGAAAGGAGUCUCGUAAACGACGCCACGCAAUUUCCGGCCGAAUUUUCGCGUAGUCUGUACUUUGGCCGUUAGGUGGCGGCGAUGCGAUUAAGUGGCAAAACGUCGUCUGCUAGCCGGGCAUACGUGGAAUUAUUUUCUGGCCUUACAAAUAGUUACCUUUUACCCAGCGUCUGGCCCGAAGACUACCGAAAAGUUCUGAUUUAUUUAUUUUUAUUUAAAUACUAUUGAUAUGUACAGUACGUAUUACCGUAAGUUAUACUAUUUCUCCCGUUACUUGUAAGCAAACGGCAAAAUGGGGAAAGAAGUCGUAUAAAGGAAACGACAAAAUAGAAAUAACUCUUAUUUAUUAUUUCUUUUACGUGUAUAAAAAUGUUCUGUCGGAAUUUUUCUCUCGAAAAAUAGUCUGCCUAAAUGGGUUAAAAUCAUUGGCAUUUUUAUUAUUUUGAUGAUUGGAUUUCUUCGCGAAAUCAUUUGGAACAAAAAGGGGAGGUACGAAAGGCGCGCUAGAGUAACGUUGUGUUUCGAUAUUCGAAAUUGUAUCGGUAUAUUGUACUUUUCUUUAAGUCGGGUUAUAGCGAAGGAUUUUUCGAUUUAAAACACUAAAAAGAAAGUACAAUACACGGAAUUGAUGCGAUUACUAUUUGAUCGAAUCGAUUAAAAUUACAAUAAGUCGAAAACGUUAGAUUAGAUUAGCCUGUCUGUGGAAAGAAUCGACUUGGUAUUAACUAAUGAGCGUCGGCCGUCCGUCGCUUAGUUGUGGCAAGUUACUUCGGUAUCUUCCUUUGUUUAAACCACUCGAUUCUUCCCAUAGACACACUUCCAUAGACUAUCUCUACUUUUAGUUAUUAUAAUCACCGGUGACGUGAGCAUGCGCCACUGUCCGGCGCCAUCUUUCUGGUUUGUUUACGUUUAUUUGCGUUUACUCGCGCUUUAGCUGGAAUUCUUGUGUCGUUUAUUCUUCGCGAAGAUCGUGGUGAAUUGUUGCGUAAUUGGGAGUAAUGCUAGUUCACUCGGAAACGAAGGAACGUCAUUUUUUAAAAUUCCCGGCAUUAUUUGUCAUCCAGGACCUCAAACCCCGGAGCUUUCGCCGGGAAGGUGUUUGCACGACGCCGAAGAAUUAACCGGAAAAAUUUCAAUACGGAUAGUGUAUCAAGACAAGAGUUUGUCAGAAACAUUUCAUUUCAGGUAAGCAAUAACAUGUAAUUAGAUUACUAGUUAUCACGCAAAAGUUUAUCAUUUAUUGAGUAUCAUAAAGUGUGUACGAGUCGGUUGCAUAAAUCCUUUUGUUAAUACCGACAGAGUAAAGUUAAAUAAUUUUCACAACCGCAGAUUUUAGUUUAUCUAUCCAAUCAUUUUCACCUGUCGGCUUGUUUUGUAACUCUGCUUGUAAUAAAUAUACAGUAGAGAUAUUAUUAAAGCGUUAAGCUUAGUUCACACUGAGCGAAAGCGAAAAUGGAUUUUUAUUCGCUUAGCGAAAUUGACCCCUACAACUAAAAGCGAAAAGCGGUUGCGAAUUUUAAGCAGCCAAUCAUUUGCAUGCGAGAGAAAACGUCGUCUCGAAAAACAAAAUGGCCGCUUCCGAUAUUCCGUCGUUAACCACGUUUGUUUGUUUAUUGAGAAAGAUACGUAAAAAAAGAUACUGGAUGAGAGGAAAGUUAAAAAUCCGUAAUUACAAUAUUUACUCGUGUGAGAAAGUUUCUAUAGCUAUCUCGAAAACAACAAGAACCACGUGACAACUAACGGGAAUAUGAUUGGUGGCGAAAUUUUUUCGCUAGCGAAAAAGCUCGACUGUUCCGAACUUCGAAGCGAUUCGCGAAAUGGUAAAAUUCGCCGGAAACAACGACGUGUUUUUCGCUUUCGCCAGCGAAUCGCGCUCAGUGUGAACUAAACUUUAAGCGAAAAGGUAAUCGCUUAGCGGAUGGAGAAUUAGAAAUGAAUUUUGAAUUGAUUUUCCUUCCAGUGUAAUUUACAUAAAUAAGUGUGUAUUUUUAAUAUAUAAACCAAUAAUUGUCAUUGUUCUCUUAUAAAUAGCUAAGUUAGGUUUUUUUUUGACUUGAUGAAAGUUUCUCUUGGCAUAAAGUAGCAUCUGGUGCUGUCAGACUGCGAAAAUAACCCGCCAGAAAAGCGUCUUUUUUAACUUUGUCCGUGUUAAUAGAACUGCCGUAUUUUUAUAAGUUUAAAUUGAAAAAAGCGCUCCCGACCCGUCAAAUAACAAACCAGGCGCAAGCUAAGCGAGCGGAAGCUAGAUGACAAACUGGCGAAGGGGCAGCGCUCCGCCCAACAAAACGUUCGCCAUAUUGGUUGCUCAUUUCACGUUACUUUGUUCGUUCACUCUAUUAUGUCAACGUGGAAGGAAGAAAAAUCUUAUCUGGCUACGCAGCCGAUUUGAAGGUUAAAUUCUCUUUAUGUUUUAUCGGAUGGGACCCGUAUGAAAUGAAACCAACGAUUUUAACCACGGCCCACUAUAGAGCAUAGAGACACGGUAAAUUAUUUGGUUCUGACGACUAACGCUGUCACACCGGUCAGACGAAGGCAUAGAAAUCACUCGAUGCUCAUAAUUAUUUGACAAGCGGAUUUAUUCGUCGUGAUAUUUUAUCGAGAGCCGUUCGUAACGAAUUACGUACUUUUCCUAUAAGCAAAAUUAUCUUCGCGAGAGACUUUCCAUUACUCAUAACAUAAACUGCGUUACGUAAAGACGAAUGUCAUUUUAUAUUUAGUCGCAUUUCACUAAAUUGUAUUUAUGAUUACUAUCAAACUUUUUCUUUUGGCACCGUGGUUUUGUGCAAGUUUCUAAUAACCUAUUAUUCAGAUCGAAUUAAUUAGUCUAAAUAUGGCUGUAAUAAAUUGGAAAUCUUAUCAGGUCGAAGACUGACUGGAGCAAAAUAGACUUUAAUUAACCACAGAUUUUUAGUAGAAUGCAUUUCGGACACAGACCUUUUUCUUCUUUUCGUAGCAAUUUCGUAUCGUUCUUGUCGCGCUCUUUCUACGAUCCGCUACUUUCCCCCGUGUUUAUUGUUGGGUCCCAAUCUGGAGAUUCUAAAUCAUACAGUUUUGUUAGUUUUCCUUUAAAUAAAAAAUAAUUUCGCAAUAAGUUUUGCUCACAUACACAAGCACUCGAAGUAGCGAAAAAUGGGGAGCAGUAGACAGCAAAAUUUAUAACAAGAAAGCAACUUUACGAGACAGCAUUUCCAUCAUCAGUCCUUGUAAUUCAUUCUAAUAUGUUCUUUCGUACCGUAACAGUCUGAGAAUAUCUAAAUGCAUAUUAUUUUCUUCAUAAACAUUACUGUUCUAUUUAACUAAUUUGCCUUUAAAACAUUAAGUCCGGGUAUUAAAGAGAUAUUAAGGUAAGUUUAUCUUUUCGUUGCCCCUUUUACUUCAGUUUGUUUAAAUAUUAAGUAAAAUCCUUACUUAAUAUUUAAACAAACAUUUUAUUUGUAACCUUUAGAUCAAAAGUUAAUUGUGUGUGUCACCGUAUCCAUUCUGAAGGAACACGGAGGAUUUUAUGAAAUCGCAACCAAAUACUACGCAAUGAACUGUAAUAAAUCGAAAUUAAUGUUAAAAAAUACUAGUUAGACAGAUCGAAAUCGGAGUCGUGUGACGUCACGUGCACCCCCUCUACAGCAAGUAAAUACUGCCGACAAUGUAUUUUUACGGUACCCCAAGACCUUUGUGUUUACGCCAACGAACGUCGACACUCGCGCUUUCGGGAAGUAUCUUACAGGCGUUUUUAUUCCGGUGAGUGAGGAAAGGAGGAAGCUUUCGGACACGAGAAGAAAAAUUUGGGAACGUUCAACCGAAUCUCUGGCCAUAUUGCACGGUGCAAGAAUCUCUUAGGUAUGUCGAAUAGAAGAGUAAAGAUACGGAAGAAUUUUAGUAUCGGAAAGAAAAAGCAUUUUUAGUUUAUCGAUCUUAGUUCUUAUCGAUUACGACGGAGAGAAACAAGAUGCGUUACUUACGGGAUGAGUAG